UGGGGAAUAUUGGACAAUGGGCGCAAGCCUGAUCCAGCCAUGCCGCGUGAGUGAUGAAGGCCCUAGGGUUGUAAAGCUCUUUCACCGGUGAAGAUAAUGACGGUAACCGGAGAAGAAGCCCCGGCUAACUUCGUGCCAGCAGCCGCGGUAAUACGAAGGGGGCUAGCGUUGUUCGGAUUUACUGGGCGUAAAGCGCACGUAGGCGGACUAUUAAGUCAGGGGUGAAAUCCCGGGGCUCAACCCCGGAACUGCCUUUGAUACUGGUAGUCUUGAGUUCGAGAGACGUGAGUGGAAUUCCGAGUGUAGAGGUGAAAUUCGUAGAUAUUCGGAGGAACACCAGUGGCGAAGGCGGCUCACUGGCUCGAUACUGACGCUGAGGUGCGAAAGCGUGGGGAGCAAACAGG
rnacentral:rRNA from 1 species